ACCUUUGCCGGCGACCGGCGCACGGGUGAGUAACACGUAUGCAACCUGCCUCAUACUCGGGGAUAGCCUUUCGAAAGAAAGAUUAAUAUCCGAUAGCAUAUAUUUCCCGCAUGGGUUUUAUAUUAAAGAAAUUCGGUAUGAGAUGGGGAUGCGUUCCAUUAGUUUGUUGGGGGGUAACGGCCCACCAAGACUACGAUGGAUAGGGGUUCUGAGAGGAAGGUCCCCCACAUUGGAACUGAGACACGGUCCAA
rnacentral:rRNA from 1 species